UUAAGUUAUUAAGGGCGCACGGUGGAUGCCUUGGCACUAGAAGCCGAUGAAGGACGUUACUAACGACGAUAUGCUUUGGGGAGCUGUAAGUAAGCUUUGAUCCAGAGAUUUCCGAAUGGGGAAACCCAACAUGAGUUAUGUCAUGUUAUCGAUAUGUGAAUACAUAGCAUAUCAGAAGGCACACCCGGAGAACUGAAACAUCUUAGUACCCGGAGGAAGAGAAAGAAAAUUCGAUUCCCUUAGUAGCGGCGAGCGAAACGGGAAGAGCCCAAACCAACAAGCUUGCUUGUUGGGGUUGUAGGACACUCUAUACGGAGUUACAAAGGACGACAUUAGACGAAUCAUCUGGAAAGAUGAAUCAAAGAAGGUAAUAAUCCUGUAGUCGAAAAUGUUGUCUCUCUUGAGUGGAUCCUGAGUACGACGGAGCACGUGAAAUUCCGUCGGAAUCUGGGAGGACCAUCUCCUAAGGCUAAAUACUCUCUAGUGACCGAUAGUGAACCAGUACCGUGAGGGAAAGGUGAAAAGCACCCCGGAAGGGGAGUGAAAUAGAACCUGAAACCGUGUGCUUACAAGUAGUCAGAGCCCGUUAAUGGGUGAUGGCGUGCCUUUUGUAGAAUGAACCGGCGAGUUACGAUUUGAUGCAAGGUUAAGCAGUAAAUGUGGAGCCGUAGCGAAAGCGAGUCUGAAUAGGGCGUUUAGUAUUUGGUCGUAGACCCGAAACCAGGUGAUCUACCCUUGGUCAGGUUGAAGUUCAGGUAACACUGAAUGGAGGACCGAACCGACUUACGUUGAAAAGUGAGCGGAUGAACUGAGGGUAGCGGAGAAAUUCCAAUCGAACCUGGAGAUAGCUGGUUCUCUCCGAAAUAGCUUUAGGGCUAGCCUCAAGUGAUGAUUAUUGGAGGUAGAGCACUGUUUGGACGAGGGGCCCCUCUCGGGUUACCGAAUUCAGACAAACUCCGAAUGCCAAUUAAUUUAACUUGGGAGUCAGAACAUGGGUGAUAAGGUCCGUGUUCGAAAGGGAAACAGCCCAGACCACCAGCUAAGGUCCCAAAAUAUAUGUUAAGUGGAAAAGGAUGUGGCGUUGCCCAGACAACUAGGAUGUUGGCUUAGAAGCAGCCAUCAUUUAAAGAGUGCGUAAUAGCUCACUAGUCGAGUGACACUGCGCCGAAAAUGUACCGGGGCUAAACAUAUUACCGAAGCUGUGGAUUGUCCUUUGGACAAUGGUAGGAGAGCGUUCUAAGGGCGUUGAAGCAUGAUCGCAAGGACAUGUGGAGCGCUUAGAAGUGAGAAUGCCGGUGUGAGUAGCGAAAGACGGGUGAGAAUCCCGUCCACCGAUUGACUAAGGUUUCCAGAGGAAGGCUCGUCCGCUCUGGGUUAGUCGGGUCCUAAGCUGAGGCCGACAGGCGUAGGCGAUGGAUAACAGGUUGAUAUUCCUGUACCACCUAUAAUCGUUUUAAUCGAUGGGGGGACGCAGUAGGAUAGGCGAAGCGUGCGAUUGGAUUGCACGUCUAAGCAGUAAGGCUGAGUAUUAGGCAAAUCCGGUACUCAUUAAGGCUGAGCUGUGAUGGGGAGAAGACAUUGUGUCUUCGAGUCGUUGAUUUCACACUGCCGAGAAAAGCCUCUAGAUAGAAAAUAGGUGCCCGUACCGCAAACCGACACAGGUAGUCAAGAUGAGAAUUCUAAGGUGAGCGAGCGAACUCUCGUUAAGGAACUCGGCAAAAUGACCCCGUAACUUCGGGAGAAGGGGUGCUCUUUAGGGUUAACGCCCAGAAGAGCCGCAGUGAAUAGGCCCAAGCGACUGUUUAUCAAAAACACAGGUCUCUGCUAAACCGUAAGGUGAUGUAUAGGGGCUGACGCCUGCCCGGUGCUGGAAGGUUAAGAGGAGUGGUUAGCUUCUGCGAAGCUACGAAUCGAAGCCCCAGUAAACGGCGGCCGUAACUAUAACGGUCCUAAGGUAGCGAAAUUCCUUGUCGGGUAAGUUCCGACCCGCACGAAAGGCGUAACGAUUUGGGCACUGUCUCAACGAGAGACUCGGUGAAAUCAUAGUACCUGUGAAGAUGCAGGUUACCCGCGACAGGACGGAAAGACCCCGUGGAGCUUUACUGUAGCCUGAUAUUGAAAUUCGGCACAGCUUGUACAGGAUAGGUAGGAGCCUUUGAAACGUGAGCGCUAGCUUACGUGGAGGCGCUGGUGGGAUACUACCCUAGCUGUGUUGGCUUUCUAACCCGCACCACUUAUCGUGGUGGGAGACAGUGUCAGGCGGGCAGUUUGACUGGGGCGGUCGCCUCCUAAAAGG
rnacentral:rRNA from 1 species